rnacentral:rRNA from 1 species
AUUGAACGCUGGCGGCAUGCCUUACACAUGCAAGUCGAACGGCAGCACGGGUGCUUGCACCUGGUGGCGAGUGGCGAACGGGUGCGUAAUACAUCGGAACAUGUCCUGUAGUGGGGGAUAGCCCGGCGAAAGCCGGAUUAAUACCGCAUACGAUCCACGGAUGAAAGCGGGGGACCUUCGGGCCUCGCGCUAUAGGGUUGGCCGAUGGCUGAUUAGCUAGUUGGUGGGGUAAAGGCCUACCAAGGCGACGAUCAGUAGCUGGUCUGAGAGGACGACCAGCCACACGGGGACUGAGACACGGCCCAGACUCCUACGGGAGGCAGCAGUGGGGAAUUUUGGACAAUGGGCGAAAGCCUGAUCCAGCAAUGCCGCGUGUGUGAAGAAGGCCUUCGGGUUGUAAAGCACUUUUGUCCGGAAAGAAAUCCUUGACUCUAAUACAGUCGGGGGAUGACGGUACCGGAAGAAUAAGCACCGGCUAACUACGUG